GUGGGGAGCGGACGUGGGGGAGGGGCAGGACCAGGUACGGACAUUGCUGCAGGAGAAGAGGUUGCCAUCAAGCUUGAAUGUGUCAAAACCAAACACCCUCAGCUCCACAUUGAGAGCAAAAUCUACAAGAUGAUGCAGGGAGGAGUGGGCAUCCCCACCAUCAGAUGGUGCGGGGCAGAGGGGGACUACAACGUCAUGGUGAUGGAGCUGCUGGGGCCAAGCCUGGAGGACCUCUUCAACUUCUGCUCCAGGAAAUUCAGCCUCAAAACCGUCCUGCUGCUUGCUGACCAAAUGAUCAGUCGCAUCGAAUACAUUCAUUCAAAGAACUUCAUCCACCGGGAUGUGAAGCCAGACAACUUCCUCAUGGGCCUGGGGAAGAAGGGCAACCUGGUGUACAUCAUCGACUUCGGGCUGGCCAAGAAGUACCGGGACGCACGCACCCACCAGCACAUCCCCUAUCGUGAGAACAAGAACCUCACGGGGACGGCGCGGUACGCCUCCAUCAACACGCACCUUGGAAUUGAACAAUCCCGAAGAGAUGACUUGGAGUCUCUGGGCUACGUGCUAAUGUACUUCAACCUGGGCUCUCUCCCCUGGCAGGGGCUGAAGGCUGCCACCAAGAGACAGAAAUAUGAAAGGAUUAGCGAGAAGAAAAUGUCCACCCCCAUCGAAGUGUUGUGUAAAGGCUACCCUUCCGAAUUUGCCACAUACCUGAAUUUCUGCCGUUCCUUGCGUUUUGACGACAAGCCUGACUACUCGUACCUGCGGCAGCUUUUCCGGAAUCUGUUCCAUCGCCAGGGCUUCUCCUAUGACUACGUGUUCGACUGGAACAUGCUCAAAUUUGGUGCCAGCCGGGCCGCCGAUGACGCCGAGCGGGAGCGCAGGGACCGAGAGGAGCGGCUGAGACACUCGCGGAACCCGGCUACCCGCGGCCUCCCUUCCACAGCCUCCGGCCGC
rnacentral:sRNA from 1 species